GUCUAAGGCCAUGUCAUCCUGAACAAGCCUGAUCCCGUCUGAUCUCGGAAGCUAAGCAGGGUUAGCUAAGCAGGGUUGGGCCUGGUUAGUACUUGGAUGGGAGACCACCUAGGAAGACCAGGUGCUGUAGGCA
rnacentral:rRNA from 1 species